rnacentral:rRNA from 1 species
UACGGGGGGGCAAGCGUUGUUCGGAAUUACUGGGCGUAAAGGGCUUGUAGGCGGCCAACUAAGUCCGACGUGAAAUCCCCAGGCUUAACCUGGGAACUGCGUCGGAUACUGGAUGGCUUGAAUUCGGGAGAGGGAUGCAGAAUUCCAGGUGUAGCGGUGAAAUGCGUAGAUAUCUGGAGGAAUACCGGUGGCGAAGGCGGCAUCCUGGACCGACAUUGACGCUGAGGAGCGAAAGCUAGGGGAGCAAACGGG